UACGAAGGUGCGCUCUGGCAAGGCGGUCGCAUUGCAAUAUAGGGAAUUGCGAUAUCCAAACUGAGUAAGGUGGAAGAUCUCCUGUCGAUCAACGUAGUGCGGUAAAUUUCUGAUAAUCCGAGUUCACUCAGAUAGAAAAUGAAGAGAGUGUCCAGAGGCAUAUGGACAUAAUUGAUACAAGUCAUAAGUGAAAUGUUCUGCAGGUAAACAAAACACGCAGUUGUCACAAAGUGAUUGAGUAUUUGCACACAGGGGAUAAUUCUGGUUUGGUCGAUAUUUAUAGAAUUGAAUGCUAGAGGAGGCA
rnacentral:sRNA from 2 species